GACGUAGGGAGCGAGCGUUGUCCGGAUUCAUUGGGCGUAAAGCGUCUGUAGGUGGCUUUUUAAGUCUGCCGUCAAAUCCCAGGGCUUAACCCUGGACAGGCGGUGGAAACUACCAAGCUGGAGUACGGUAGGGGCAGAGGGAAUUUCCGGUGGAGCGGUGAAAUGCGUAGAGAUCGGAAAGAACACCAACGGCGAAGGCACUCUGCUGGGCCGACACUGACACUGAGAGACGAAAGCUAGGGGAGCAAAUGGG
rnacentral:rRNA from 1 species